GACGAACGCUGGCGGCGUGCCUAAUACAUGCAAGUAGAACGCAGUUGCGAACGGGGGAGUAACGCGUAGGGAACUGCCUCAUAGCGGGGGGUAACUAUUGGAAACGAUAGCUAAAACCGGCUACUGUGAGAUGGACCUGCGUUGUAUUAGCUAGUUGGGGAGGUAAAGGCUCACCAAGGCGACGAUACAUAGCCGACCUGGGAGGGUGAUCGGCCACACCGGGAACGGGAAACGGCCCAGACCUCUUCGGGAGGCAGCAGUAGGGAAUCUUCGGAAAUGGACGGAAGUCUGACCGAGCAACGCCGCGUGAGUGAAGAAGGUUUUCGGAGCGUAAAGCUCUGUUGUUAGAGAAGCGUUAACUAACCAGAAAGGGACGGCUAACUACGUGCCAGCAGCCGCGGUAAUUC
rnacentral:rRNA from 1 species